rfam:Negativicoccus succinicivorans DORA_17_25 Q612_NSC00209, whole genome shotgun sequence.
AAAUCAUCGAUGAACGGGAAGAGUACCGUCGUAACAAACGCUAAAGCGAGCCGGUGACAGUGGAAGAUCGGCGCGGGAGGACGACGCGAAUGGGCCCGGGAGAUACGACCCGAUCCGCUGCGCGGGGUAGGCGUCGACGGCACCUUCGGCCGCUAUCCCGAAGCGCGUAUCGCAAAUCGCCGUACGUAGUAAGCCGGACUGAUGACAGUCAAGCGGGGUGGCACCGCGGAAGGAUACCUUUCGUCCCCAUA